rnacentral:lncRNA from 1 species
GAAAAGAUAAGAAAAAAAUGGAGUGAAAAAAUAAAAAGAAGGGAGGUGAGAAAAAUAGCAAGUAUGGUGUGCAUGUCCUAGAGUUUGAUUUUUUCAUAUGUUCGAGCACAAAAUCAAAUCCUAAGUUGUGAGAUUUCUAGAGAAAAUUCUCUUGGCAUGAUCCUAGUGGUGAAAGCGAAGGCAAUAGAGUAUUGGUGCAAUCGUUCUUCGAGUUUGAAGCCAAAAGUAUUCUUGUGAAGAAAAGGCUGCAGUGGUGCACCGAUUGAGAAGGAG